UCCAUCCAUGCUUUUUUUUUUUUUUUUUCUUUUUUUUUAGGUUCAUGUGUUUUUCAUGGUUCUUGUGACCUCUGCAGAAGCCCCAGCUCUGGAAAGAAAGGAGCUGUUAAAUCCAGAACAUUUUCCUUAGAAUGUAUUUAUCAAAUCAGAGAUGAAAAGAAAAUGAAGGAACUGGGCCACAAGGAAGAAAAGAAGUGAAGAAUCCAAUACAAUCUGGGUCAUUUCAAACCAGCCACAGAGAACCUGCAUUUGGGGGACAUAUUUCAAGGAAGACACAGCCCACCAUUUAGAAUCCUCCCGAAUCUAUGAGACAAAGUGCUUCGGUGAAGCUCAGAGACUCAGUUUGGAGUUGCUACCAAAGACAUUGGACCAGAAGUUCUUUCCCUAAUUGCUCUGUGGAACACUGUGCUCUUCGUUCGACAAGGCAGUCGGGGCCCCGCACAAUACACAAAAACUAAACUAAAAUAAAGUAAAAAC
rnacentral:lncRNA from 12 species